rnacentral:rRNA from 1 species
AUUGAACGCUGGCGGCAGGCCUAACACAUGCAAGUCGAGCGAGCGGCGGACGGGUGAGUAAUGUAUGGGGACCGCCCGAUAGAGGGGGAUAACUACUGGAAACGGUAGCCAAUACCGCAUACUAUCGGAUAACCCAUAUGGGAUUAGCUAGUGGGUGAGGUAAUGGCUCACCUAGGCAACGAACCCUAGCUGAUCUGAGAGGAUGAUCAGCCACACUGGGACUGAGACACGGCCCAGACUCCUACGGAGGCAGAAGUAGGGAAUAUUACGCAAUGGGCGCAAGCCUGAUACAGCCAUGCCGCGUGUAUGAAGAAGGCCCUAGGGUUGUAAAGUACUUUCAGUCGGGAGGCGUUACCGACGGAAGAAGCACCGGCUAACUCCGUGCCAGCAGCCGCGGUAAUGC